UUCCAAUUCAGACUCUUACCAACUUGCCUUUGACUGACAGUUGCUUGGCUUGUCAUGACGAUAACAUCUAAUAAGGAAUCUGAACAUUUUUUUUUGCAGCUCUCCUAUGCCAGUUUUUUGUGAUGACAGAUAACUAAAGUGACAUGGAAUAGCUUUUGCUGCUGUUUGAAAGAGGAAAGAAGAGCUCCAAGAUAUUCCACGAUGACCUGGUAUACACUUCAGGUGUCUGUCUACCACCAUCAGAUCCAUUUGUUCAAGGAUAUCAGAUACAUUUGUUUAGAGAACUUUGCUUUCAAAACGAAUGCAGAACUUACUAGCAACAACAACAACAGCAAAAUAAAUAUCUUUAAUGACUGCAAUGAUAAAUAAAACAGGUCAUGAAUACUGAAGUGAAUUCAUGAUUUUAUAUUUGAACAUUGGCUGCCACUACAUUUGUCAUUUUAGCCCAGCUCCAAUCAGAAUGUUCCCUAUGACAGACUGACCACAAUACAGAAUAGUAAUGACUAUACAUCAGUGUUAUUAGCUCUUCACUGUACAGCACAACCGAAGGAGGUUUUAUGCAGAUCUUGCAUAUUAAAUACUAAAACUCUGCUUGACUAAAAUGUUAGCAUUUACCUGCUCCACUUACAUGAUUAGUAUUUCAUGAAUAAUGGAAUCUUGUGGUGGUGAAUCCCUUGAACACUUUCUGUGAAAAUAUUAGAUUACGAGCACCGGAUCUUUUUAAUGCUUAAGAUUCCUGCUGAACAUCCUGUACUUAAAUGGCUUGAAAGAGCUGCUGGAACAUUUCCAGUACGUCAUAUAUUUUCUCAGUCGAGGUCAUUUAAACUGCCCUACCCUGGGUUAUCACACAGUAAACAGAAGCAAAACAAUGUAAAACCACCCAACAGUGCAGCAGCUGCCUUUUGCAUUUAUUGCACAUAUUAUUAAAAAUAAACCUUACAAUGGUAAUUGCACAUCUUAUCCUAUUUUGUAGACUGUAAUAAUGUCAUUCCAUUAUUAUUAUCAUUCUUGACUAUCAACCCAAACAAGAGCUGAUGUGAGGAUAUCAGGAGAUAGAAAGAAGGGCCAAGCUUUAUAUUAACCUAGGUAUCUGCUAGAAGCUUGGAAGGAACAUACCAGUCUCAAAUUUACAUUCUUAUAAUUAAGAUGCAGUGGGCCUGACUGUAGACCAUUAAAACCUACAUAGAAUGGAAACUUAAAACCAUGGAUUUAAAUAAGUUUUUAUGUUUCAGGACUUGCGAAUAACUGAACAAAUGAUUAGAACUUCCUAGUUCCAUCUCAAAAUCUUCCUCCCACUUUUGUUCAUCUUAAGGAUCUAACUGAUUUUCGUUAGAAUCACAAUUUAUGUUCUUUCCUUUGCUAAGACGAUAUAUUCUUGAAUUGCUGAGAAGUGUAACAUUUUAUUUAACAGCUGUGGUUAAACAAUGAUUUUGAAGUUAGAAGACUGCUAUUCAUGCUUCAGUCCAAGAAAGUGCCAAAAUUAUUUGUGAAAACAUACCCUUUGCAAUGCUCCAGAAUAAAAAAAACCCCUCAGAAUAAAUACAGAAAUCUAAAACCUGGAAUAAAUUAUGUGAUACAUGCUAAGCUGCCUGCCUUGAUAGUUAUUGCAAUAAAGGGAUUACUCUUAUUACAGAAAUUGAUAAAAAUAUUUAGAGAACAUUUCACUAAGGAGAAAUCUUUGAAAGCAGAUAUAAUGCAUUCCUGAUCUAGGUUAAUCUUGAAAAGAAUAAUGAAAGAAAUUUUGUCUUAUCACUGGAGGAAAUUUGUUGCAUACCAUGAAGGCAGACUUUUAUUGUGAAGUUAUAGCAUAGCAUAGGAUAGUAUCUUUCUUUUGGGAAAACAAAAAAAUAAUAGUAGCAGUACUACUAUUGGUACUUUUCAGAUAGAAUAACCCUACUCUUUAAAACAGCAGUAUGUGCUUAUUAGUUUUUUGAUGACUAAACCUUGAAAUUACACUUCAUUCUAAAUGAGUGCUCUACAUUCCCCUCCUACCUCUGCUCUGAAACUCAUUUGGUCUAAGAUAUAUCCAUAUAGCCUAUAGGGUGCCCUAGAAACUAAAUGGGUUUGUAGAUUUGUGGAAUUCCUGGAGAAUGAGAAGCUACACAAAUUGUAGCUGUCUCCAACUGUCUCCAAGUUGCAGGCCUCAGUGCCCAAUGUGCCACCUAGUCAGACAGUUUGUGGAAAUAUUUAAAAGGGGGUAGACAAAUAUUAGACUAGGAUGGGAAAUAUCAUCCUGCCUUGAGCUCAGAGGGAUUGUACCAAAUGACCUUCUGAGAUCCCAUCCAACCCUAUUUUUCUAUGUUUCUGUGAUCUUACAUAUGGGAAGAGAGAAAACUAAACUUAAUAUAGAGAGUCAAGAAGGAGAACAAUACCUCCUACCCCUCUAGAGUUAUUAAACAUUUUGAAGUAGGGAACCAAUUAACUUCACUUUCAUUGCUUACAUGUUACAGUGUUCACAGGGAGACAGCAAUUUGAUUUUUCCCCUUUGCUAAACCAUUUGUAGGACAGCAGCCAAGACAUUUCACUUGGUUACAGAAAUAAAUUGUUUGCAGACAAUGGCUUAGACAAAAAAAGUGUAUCUUCUGUCUGAUAGUGGGAACAAGGUUUCCGAUCUCCAAAAUGUUAUAAAGCACUGAUUCCUUCAUCUGUUCCCAGGGAUUAUACUGCAAAUAAAAAUAAUGAUUGCCCAUAAACCUGGACAAAUUAGCCAGCUUGUUCCUGGUAAGAUUUCCCUAGUUCUUCAUAAAACAAGGGCUUGUCUACACAUGGCUUUAUUCCAGAAAAGCUCUUUUUUGACCAACUCUUGUGGGUUAGCUAUUCCAGAUCAAUUUCCAAUGCCAAUGCUCUGAUUCCAGAAUAAGGAUACAUACACAUGAACUAGUUUCUAUGGAACAAAAGGUGAUAAGGAUUUACUGCUGGACAGCUGGUCUACCAUAACUGUCCUCAUGCAUGCUCUUACCUCAUUGUAAAUGAAAGCUAAAUCACAGUAGUUUAGCCCUUAAGGCUUCCUUUUCUUCUUUCAGAGGAAGAAUGUGCAUAUAAGCAGUUACUGCAGAAAAGAUGACGUGUCAUAAACACCCACCUCCUUUGACCUGGCAGUAACUGAUUUGUGUACCCCUGCUGUGCUACUGUUUGUAUUUUAAUCUACCUCAUUUUCAAAAUGGAUUAAAUUAAUCCACAAAGGGUCUUUCCUGAUUCCAGAAUAAGAGCACCCACAUAUGCAUUCAAUACAGAAUAACUACUCCAGUUUACACUUACCUCCUAUUUGAUUCCAGAUUAUUUUGUCUAGACAAGCCUUACACUGCUGUUAAUGGUUCCAGUUUCAUUUGCCAGAAAUGGUAAUUCCCUUGAAAGGUGUGCUUAUAUUGUAUAAUUUCGUUAAAAUAGAUGCUUAACA